GAACCAUGGUGCGCUGCUUAUCAACCAAUCUCCACAACUGAGCAUUUUGCGACGCGGCCUGCUGCUUAUCCUUGAGUAGAUGUAUAAUGACCGCCUCAGCGGAGCCUGCCGUAGAGAUGAGAUUAGCGAUGUCCUCCGGGUUGACAUUAUUCGCAUCGAGUGAAGAUUUAUGCGAAUGGGCGGAGGAAAUAGACGAGAUGGCUGAAUCGAUCGAAGAGGUGCGCGGCAUCGUUCUGACACGAUCUCCCACGGCAGAUGACAGGGCCGGGUUGGAUAGGGGCGGAGAAGGGGAGACUGAAUUGGCAGAGGCAACACGACGGCCACCAUUAUUACUAUUACUAUUACUAUUGUUAUUGUUGUUAUUGUUGUUGCUGCUGUUAUUAUUAUUGCUAUUCAUGGUGAUGAGAUGAGACGGAUCAGACGCCUUUCGCAGCAGAUCGUAAGAAGAGGACUUUGGCAUAUUCCCAUUGGCACCCCGCACCUGCGACAAGCCGGUCAGUCGAUCUGGGAGUGCGAGACAAUGCUGCACUGCCUCUGGUAACUGGUUCAGACUGCGGGUCGCGGUUGAUGGCCCGGCAGCGGCGGCGGCGGCGGUGGUGGUGGUGGUGGUAGGAGGGAUAGGAAAGUUCGACACUCGAGUGAAUGUUGAAGUGGAUAGGGGAGAAACAGGAGGAGAAGGAGAUCGCGGAGAGAUGGAAGAAGUGCUAGAUGAGGCGCCUGAACGAGAUGGCCUGGAAGUGGAUUUCGGCGAGGUAGCGACAGGCGAAUCCUCCUGGCUCAAAGAAGGUGAACGAGGAAGCGCGGAAGCAUGAGGUUGAGAGGAGGAAGGGGGGGAAGAUGGAGAAAGAGAGGAUAAGUGAAGGCGGGACUUCGGGUCGUAUAGUGUCGUUGUUGAGGACGCCUUGGUGGUGGUUGUGGUGCGGAAAGGAGAAAGGACGGGGGCUUGAGAGCGGAAGUUAACGGUGUGGUGGUGGUUGAAAUUGCUAGAAUAAGUGCUUGGAUUAUGAUGACUACCAGGGGCAGGAUUGUUUGUAUUUCUUGUGUCGCUUGAGCUGGCGCUUGAGUUGGCGGCAUCCGGGCGCUGGGCCAGAUAAUCCCUGGGGAACAGGGAGGCGGGUGUCAGGGGGGGAGAGGCGAGUUUGAAGGAGUGCGGAUCUCCCUUUCCUCUCUGCUGCGGGUCAGCGGGUGAUGGGGGGGAGUAAGGCGUGCAGGUGUAAGGAGUGUAAGGGGAAUAGGCCUUGUAAGUAGCGGGGUGUUGUUGUUGUUGUUGUUGUUGGUGGUGGUGAUGGUGGUGAUGGUGGUGUUGGAGGUGGGAUGUGUGAGGUUGGUGAGGCUGUUGGAGAGGGUGAAGAUGGUGAAGUUGUUGGUGUUGGCGCUGGCGCUGACUGGGGCUGUCCGCGCUGGGUUGCCGCCGAACCUGCGACAUGGCUGCGAAAGGGGCCAGAGAAUUAGUCGACGGAGUCGAAAUAGUCGAAAGACGGCUUGCCGCAUGUACCCCAGACACGCUGCGAUGAGCUGGGGAAUUAGUUCUGCAACGCUGGCUCCGCCAUGGAUUUAAUUGAUUAAUCCGCUUCCACGCCCACUCACCUCUUUACACUGCGUAUAUCAGUCAAGGAGCUGGAAAUAUUCAUUCAAUACUAUUCAAAUUCACUGUUCCCUCGACCCAGAACCCAAUAUCCCCUCGAUAUGCACUCCCGACAAACAAUUCAACACUACCACAACUCAGACUUCCUUGUCUCUCCAACCGGUGGGUGUUCGUUGGAUACGGCUGCAGACCCCAGUGACCCUCUGAGAGCGACACAAGAGGAGGAACAGCCCACCAGACAGAUGGAUCAGAGGAUAGCUGUUGCUGGCAUGCCGCUGGGAAGGUAGCAAUUGGCGGGACAGGUGUAUAAAUAUCUGAAGAUGAGAAUGAUGGAUAGAAAGAGCGGCGGUGGCGGCAGCAUCGGAGGAAGAGGAAGAAGAAGAAGAAGAAGAAGAAGAAGAAAAGAAUACAAAGCCAGGAGAAUUCCAGAAGAAUGACUUUUUUGAAUUGAAAGAAGAAUUCAGACCAAAUGGCAACCAAAGCAUUGUGGAUUAUUCAUUAUAGUACCUCUUUUUAGUUGACUCUCAAAGUUGUCAAUGAUUCAUCAUGACCAGAAGAGUAAAAAAAGAGAACAUCAACAUUGGAUGAUGGAGAAGCCUCCUCAACAGAAAAGCAUAUCCAAAACACCCAGAAACCAUUCAGACCACAGAGAAUCGAGAGGAAUUUGCAAGGAUUAAGGACCAGGUACGGAGUACAAUAUGGCAAUUUGCCCCCUUCAUUCAAAAAUUGCCGUCAGUGGGCUUUACUAUGGUCGGUUCUUUACAUGCUGAAUCCAGGGCUCUCAUAUAUUAUUACAUCACUUGAAUGAUAUUGCUGGGUAAGUAAGUGAAGGUCGUGUCUAUGAUACAAUUCUAGCAGCCAGAAAAGCCCAGGUCACUUCUCAAUCUUGUGGCAAUCCCUGCACGCAGAAUGGAUUGCAGAUACAUUUUCCGACCCGAAUAAUUCUGCAGCCAGCCCUCACGGCUGUUGAAUCACUAGUGGUUAACCUAUAUACUAUUGGGGUGCGGCAGAGCAUCCUAUUUUCAGCGCUGUUUUAAGCCCAUUCCUGGCCACACCACUUUAAUGUUCAAUAAUACACCUUACAUCUCUCAUCAACAUCUAACUAUCUUUCCCGUACAUUCCUCGGAGACAGCAAUCGCUGCAAUGUCAUAUCCACAGAUUAUUGAUGCUUAACAUCUUUGCAGAAUGCCUUUCUUCUUAAUAUACUAGGGGCAGCCUGCCACUAUCACCCCCCCUUCUGGGGGUGGGCAAACGAACCUCUUAAGUCCCAGGGGAUGAAAGGCAUCUUUAAUUGCUUCAUAGGGGUGGACAGCUCAGGCACAACACUCUAUAGCAGGAGCUUCAUGAAACAUGCAGCUGGGCAGGACGGAGCAAAAGUGCGAAGUCAUAUUGAUAUCAUUAGCAGAUGUCAUCACAGAUAUCAUCAGUGGUAGGCAGGCAGAUAAGGCAGAUAAUUCAUAAUUCAGGGGGAAGAAUAGGGGCUCUCUGAGCCAAUUAUGGACUAGUGUUGAGGAAGUCUCCACUGCAUUAAAUA
rnacentral:sRNA from 1 species